rnacentral:lncRNA from 1 species
CAGAAAGAAGCUAAUAUAGAGACCCAACUGAAGUUUGAAGAUUAUCUGUGAGUUGAAUCUAUCUAUACUAUUUCUAAGCCUCAUUUGUACAGAUAAUCGAGGGUUGGCAGAACUUCAGAGAAGUAUCUCUUAAGGGAGAUCAAACAUUUUCUCAAAACCCAACUCCCUCUGAAAUGGCACAUUUUUUCAUUCCCAUGGGAAAGUCAUUGCUUAGAGAAGAGAAGAGACAGAGGUGCUGAGAGGAAGAGAGAAUUCCCCAGGUCUGAGUUACCUUUGAUGGGAGAGGCUCAGCAAUGAGUGGGUAAGUUGGCAAUUUGUUCUGGAUCCAGACAUGUACACAGGCACGUGUGCGCAUGUGUGCAAGCCUGUGUGUAAUAUUCAAAUCCACCUGAAGGCAGUUUGCCAGGGAAGGAGUUGGGAGGUCGGUGCCUGUGAGCCACAGCUAUCCUAGUGAGAAACUGAGAGGGUUCCCCAGCUCCUGGCUCCUUACACCCUUUCUGGUUCAGAGGCUGCUCUUCCACCUCCGACCACCCAAUGGCGUGAAACUAAUAAUUAACCCUUUGGCACCAGCGCUGCAGAUUUUUCUCCACUAAUUGGUAAUGUGAAACCCACUAGUGAUUGGUGUGGGGAUAUGGACUCCAUAUGUCAGAAGGUUAAUGAAAAAUUAAGUAUUGUAUUUUUCUGGGGGUGGGGGGGAUUAAAAUUUUUAGGAUGGGUGAUGUCUUUUUCUCUGUCUGCUGGUAAGAUUGAGCAUCAGGAUGUUGGCCUCCUGGAGCUGGCCUGUCCUCCACAAGUCUGGUUGGGUUUUAUCUGGAAGGUCAGAAAACUUUUGCUACCAAAUCCAAACAAGUUCCAUUUAGAACUAUCCUUCACAGUUCAGAAGUGAAGAUGGCUCCUGAGGGCCACGUAAAUAGUAGAUUUAAUUGCCCAAUAAUUGCAGAUAUUUUGCCUGCAAAUAUAUUUGUUAAUUGAAAUAUAUAUAUUUUGUUUCUGUGUUUAGGCUCCUGGAAUGGAUAAGAGGGAAAUUUAUUAGAGAACUUUAUUUGGACUCCAGGACCCCUUUUUGCAAGUGCAUGCCUUAUUAAUAGGUCUUUGUUCUUGCUGUAACCCUCAGACAAGUAUUCUGAGAGACAUACUCAUUUUCUUCUAAGUCCUAUCAGCAUAGUAAUCACUCUUGGCUCAAAAACCAGCUUCCAUUUGCAUGUUUAAUAAUAAAAAUAUAACACCAAUACCAUAUUCAAAACUAUAUUUUUCCUUUUAGUGGAAGACUUCAAGAAUAACCUGGUUCCCUAUGUCUACCACAAAUGCUUUUUACCAAGGGGUUGAAGUCUUUAAAAUAGGAAGAUAAUGCUAAAACAAUUUGAUUACUCUUUCCUUCUCCUAUCAGUCACAAACCAUCUCUCUUAAUUAUGGUGUAAGGACAUUUACAUAACCAGGGAGAGUGUCCUUUAACUACAUUGCUAUUAUGCUUGGCACUUGUGUGAAAGGAUAUUAUAUUCAUGUGCAUUAGAGAUUGCUUAUAAAAGAUCAAGACAAUAAUAGCCGAUCAGAUGAUAAAGGUCUCUUUUCUCCUCCCAGACAGGCUGUCUCUGACAGAAGAAUACAGUUCAUCAAAAGUGUCUGCAGGUUGUCAAACUCAGGGAGGUUUGGGGACCCUCUGCGGCUGUCAUGGUCAACAAGAAGAUUUUCUGUCGGGCUCCUCCAUCACUCACCCUGAGGAAAUAAUCACUCACUACAUUCUGCAUGUUCUCAUGAUGGAGCUCUCCAUUUGAGAGAAAAGAGCCAUUUUAUCAAAGGACAAUAUAGCCCUUCUCUGGGUCCACGUAGCUUCCAUUAUCAGACCAUAAUAAAUCAUAUUUAUGUUCUCAGUUAAUAAGACUGAUUACAACGCAGGUUCCAGACGUGGGAAAAGCAAAGCAGGUGAAAAGAUGUUUUAAUGAAAAUAUGAUAAGAAAACAGCUUCUUGUGAACAUUUUGUGCUAUUAUUUGUAAUGAUUACAGACAAUUUUUGAUGCAUCUUCUUUAGCAAUGGUUUAAGCUGCAUAAAUUGGCUCACUGGUAGAUAAGUAAAAAUGAUAAGAGAAAAAUCAUGAAAUAGUCUUAUGUUGUCUAGAAUCAUUAUGUAUAUAACAAGUGCAAAAUGGGUUUAAUGUAUAUGCUGGGGAUGGAGGGAAACAGAUUUCUCAGAGAAGCAUGCUUUGGGUAUUAUUCAAAAUGAUUUAGAAAUUUUCUCCUCAUCUUGCUUACUAAAGGUGUGUGCUCCCUCAAAUUGGGGAGUAUUAAUCACAAAUUUCAUUUUUGCAAAUGAAUCUAUAACUCUACCUCCUUUAUUCAUUCUCAAAGUUGUUCUUUUUUCCUGUCUGUCCCUGACCUCUGCCACUCCUUGGACCUUGGUACAAAGAG